UAAAUUUUUAAAGGUAUAUUCUGCCCUAUGAUUAAUUAUUUUAAAUGGCUGCAGUAUCUUGACUGUGCAAAGGUAGCAUAAUAAUUAGUUUUUUAAUUGAAGGCUUGUAUGAAUGAGUAAAUGAGAAAUUUUUUUUAUUAUGAGAAUUUUUUGAAAUUAAUUUUUAAGUUAAAAAGCUUAUUUAAUUUUUUGGGACGAUAAGACCCUAUAGAACUUAAAUUUAAUUUUGUUAGUUUUUUUUAGUUAAUUUAUUAAUUAAAAUUUUAUUAAUUUUUUAUUGGGGUGAUAAAUAAAUAAAACUUUAUUUUUUUAGUUCAAUAAGUUUUUGUAUUUUAUGAUCCAAUAAAUUUGAUUAUAAGAUUAAGUUACCUUAGGGAUAACAGCGUAAUUCUUAUGGAGAGUUCAUAUUUAUAUAAGAGUUUGCGACCUCGAUGUUGAAUUAAGAUUAUUUAAUGGGGCAG
rnacentral:rRNA from 1 species